GACGAACGCUGGCGGCGUGCCUAAUACAUGCAAGUAGAACGCUGAAGGAGGAGCUUGCUUCUCCGGAUGAGUUGCGAACGGGUGAGUAACGCGUAGGUAACCUGCCUGGUAGCGGGGGAUAACUAUUGGAAACGAUAGCUAAUACCGCAUAAGAGUAGAUGUUGCAUGACAUUUGCUUAAAAGGUGCAAAUGCAUCACUACCAGAUGGACCUGCGUUGUAUUAGCUAGUUGGUGGGGUAACGGCUCACCAAGGCGACGAUACAUAGCCGACCUGAGAGGGUGAUCGGCCACACUGGGACUGAGACACGGCCCAGACUCCUACGGGAGGCAGCAGUAGGGAAUCUUCGGCAAUGGACGGAAGUCUGACCGAGCAACGCCGCGUGAGUGAAGAAGGUUUUCGGAUCGUAAAGCUCUGUUGUAAGAGAAGAACGAGUGUGAGAGUGGAAAGUUCACACUGUGACGGUAUCUUACCAGAAAGGGACGGCUAACUACGUGCCAGCAGCCGCGGUAAUACGUAGGUCCCGAGCGUUGUCCGGAUUUAUUGGGCGUAAAGCGAGCGCAGGCGGUUAGAUAAGUCUGAAGUUAAAGGCUGUGGCUUAACCAUAGUACGCUUUGGAAAACUGUUUAACUUUGAGUGCAAGAGGGGGAGAGUGGAAUUUCAUGUGUUUCGGUGAAAUGCGUAGAUAAUUGGAAGGAACACCGGGGGCGGAGGC
rnacentral:rRNA from 1 species